rnacentral:rRNA from 1 species
CGUGGGGGUGCUACCAUGCAAGUCGAGCGAUGAAGCCUUUCGGGGUGGAUUAUUGGCGAACGGGUGAGUAACACGUGGGCAAUCUGCCCUUCACUCUGGGACAAGCCCUGGAAACGGGGUCUAAUACCGGAUAUCACACUUGCGGGCAUCUGCGGGUGUUGAAAGCUCCGGCGGUGAAGGAUGAUCCCGCGGCCUAUCAGCUUGUUGGUGAGGUAAUGGCUCACCAAGGCGACGACGGGUAGCCGGCCUGAGAGGGCGACCGGCCACACUGGGACUGAGACACGGCCCAAACUCCUACGGGAGGCAACACUGGGGAAUAUUGCACAAUGGGCGGAAUCCUGAUGCAACGACGCCGCGUGAGGGAUGACGGCCUUCGGGUUGUAAACCUCUUUCAUCAGGGAAGAAUCGAAAGUGACGGUACCUGCAGAAAAAGCGCCGGCUAACUACCUGCCAGCAGCCGCGGUAAUACGUAGGGCGCAAGCGUUGUCCGGAAUUAUUGGGCGUAAAGAGCUCGUAGGCGGCUUGUCACGUCGGGUGUGAAAGCCCGGGGCUUAACCCCGGGUCUGCAUUCGAUACGGGCUAGCUAGAGUGUGGUAGGGGAGAUCGGAAUUCCUGGUGUAGCGGUGAAAUGCGCAGAUAUCAGGAGGAACACCGGUGGCGAAGGCGGAUCUCUGGGCCAUUACUGACCGUUGAGGAGCGAAAGCGUGGGGAGCGAACAGGAUUAGAUACCCUGGUAGUCCACGCCGUAAACGGUGGGCAUUAGGUGUUGGCGACAUUCCACGUCGUCGGUGCCGCAGCUAACGCAUUAAGUGCCCCGCCUGGGGAGUACGGCCGCAAGGCUAAAACUCAAAGGAAUUGACGGGGGCCCGCACAAGCAGCGGAGCAUGUGGCUUAAUUUGACGCAACGCGAAGAACCUUACCAAGGCUUGACAUACACCGGAAACGGCCAGAGAUGGUCGCCCCCUUGUGGUCGGUGUACAGGUGGUGCAUGGCUGUCGUCAGCUCGUGUCGUGAGAUGUUGGGUUAAGUCCCGCAACGAGCGCAACCCUUGUUGUGUGUUGCCAGCAUGCCUUUCGGGGUGAUGGGGACUCCCAGGAGACCGCCGGGGUCAACUCGGAGGAAGGUGGGGAGGACGUCAAGUCAUCAUGCCCCUUAUGUCUUGGGCUGCACACGUGCUACAAUGCCCGGUACAAUGAGCUGCGAUACCGUGAGGUGGAGCGAAUCUCAAAAAGCCGGUCUCAGUUCGGAUUGGGGUCUGCAACUCGACCCCAUGAAGUCGGAGUUGCUAGUAAUCGCAGAUCAGCAUUGCUGCGGUGAAUACGUUCCCGGGCCUUGUACACACCGCCCGUCACGUCACGAAAGUUGGUAACACCCGAAGCCGGUGGCCCAACCCCCUUGUGGGGAGGGAGCUGUGAAGGUGGGACUAGCGAUGGGAGGAAGUCGUAAGCAAGA